ACCCCGGCCGACCUACUUGAACGGACACUUCUGUUUCUGUUCUUUCGCGCCCUGCGCCUUAAAAGGGUCGCAAAACAUCAAAUCAGAUAGGGAUCUUAGACUUCUGUUGCUCAAGUGCAGAUGUUCCCCAGAUAAGGAAAUAGGCCCAGAGAGGUUAAUGAUUUGCCCAGAGUCACACAUUCUUGGUCCGCCGAUGUCAAGACAAAAGCUGGCGAACGGGGGAGGAGGAGUGAGGGGAUAGAGUCACCCCAGGCUUUCUGGAGAAGGUAAAUUCCAAUCUGCCCUUGCGGGGCGAGCAGGAUUUGAACCGGCAGAGAUGAGGAAAGGCAAGAGGUGCCUGAUAAGUCUUUCUGCUUGGCAUAGCCUCAGUCUAUCUGCCUCCUGUGGUUAGGCCCCAGCUGACCAACCACCCAGAGAUGGCUUCCCCCCGCCCCACACACCCAGUUCCUCCUGCCCAAAGGGUGGAGGGCCUAGAAAAGCUGGGUUCCCCCUCCAGGAAAGGAAGAGAAAAAUGAUGUGUUGGUUAUAAAAACAGCAUUGCGCACACCUGCAAAAAUGGCUAAAAUGAAAAUGAUGGAAAAUGCCAAGUGACCCUCUGAGACUCCCCUACACUGCUCAGGGGAGUGUUAACUGGUGCAGCCAGCCACUUGGGAGCUCUUCGGCAGUAUGCACGUACGUCUCCCUGUGACCCACAAUCCCACCCCAGGAGUGUGCAGGAGUAGACGGGCUCAGUAUAAUGAAGUCUCCUUUCCUAAUGGUGUGAAAGUCCAUGUUAUUUCUCUUCCCGUUCCAGUGUGCAGUUCUGGAGAAGUACUUACAAUUCAACAUGAGCAGGGUGGGUUGCUUAAGAACCUUCUGCAAUAUUGAACAAUUAUAUUUUUAAACACUUUUAUUUCAAGAUUUGAUAUUAAUUAUAAUUUAUUUGGCUUUUAUUUUACUAGGCAAUUUUGAAUUUAUUUUAAUAUCUUUAAAUGUGAAAAAUCAUUUUAAGUUUUACUUUUAUUUUUAUUUAGAUUUUUAUUAAAAUGUUGAAAUUCUAUAUCCUUUGAAUAAAACUAUUUUAUUUCUAAAAAAUUCCUUAGAUCAAUAAUGUCUCAUCCAUUUUCAUGUUAGGACAGUCCUGAAAGGACUCCAAAUCCGUUCUUCCCUCCUCCCCGACCAAUUCAUCCUCCCCACUGCUGCUUCAGUCAUUCUUUCUUUCUUUUUUCUUUUUCUUUUUUUUUCCAGACGGAGUCUCGCUCUUUCACCCAGGCUGGAGUGCAGUGGCGUGAUCUUGGCUCACUGCAACCUCCGCCUCCCGGGUUCAGGCGAUUCUCCUGCCUCAGCCUCCUGAGUAGCUGGGAUUACAGGCGUGCGCCACCACACCCAGCUAAUUUUUUUAUUUUUAGUAGAGACGAGGUUUCACCAUGUUGGUCAUGCUGGUCUCGAACUCCUGACCUCGUGAUCCGCCCGCCUCAGCCUUCCAAAGUGCUGGGAUUACAGGUGUGAGCCACUGCACUCGGCCCAGUCAUUAUUUCUGAAAGGCAAAUCUGACUGUGUCCCUUCUCUUCUCAGGACACUUCAGUAGGCUCUUCAUGGCCCUUGGAAGAAUUUCCCAAACAGUUUUCUUUUGAAAACUGUGUCUGCACAAUAAUGAUAAUAGUUUAUGUUUGUUGAGCACUCACUAUGUACCAGUUAGUUCUAAUUUAUCUCAUGGAAUUUAUUCACCAAUUUAGUGAGAUAGGUUCUAUAGUUAUUCAGAAUUUUCACAUGUGGGAUUCAAGGGACUGAGAUAUCAAACAGCUUGUCCAUGGUCACACAACUAAGUGAGUGUUGGGCCAGAAUGUGAGCUGGGGGCAGAGGCAGAUUUUCUACAUAGCUAAUGAAGCUUCAAGUGAGUUUAGCCCCUUUCUCUGUUGGGCUCUUUAAGUGCCCUGCAAGAGGCCCUAGUAUUGUGUAUGUAUGAUCAUAUAUUUUUCUUGCUUUAUUAAAGUUCAUUUCUUUGAGGGAAAUAAAUUUUGCAUACAUUAAAAUGAACAAAAAUGUAUAGUUCAAUGGGUUUCGACAAAGCAAUAUCCUUUUGUAACCCCAACACCAAGCAAGAUAAAGAACAUUUUCCCCUGACUCCACAAAGUUCCCUUGCAUGUCAUCCCGGUCAUCCCACCCUCCACAACCAGGCGAUCACUAUUCUCAUUUAUUUUCCUCUUAGAUCUAGACUGUUGUAUAAAUGAAAUAAUGUAAUAUGUACUCUGUGUCUGAUGUCUUUAAUUGACCAUAAUGUGUGAGAGAUUAAUCCAUAUUGUUUCACAUAUCAGAAACUUGCCCUUUUUUGCUCUGAAGUAUCCCAUUGUGUGAAUAUACUAUAAUUUAUUAAUUUAUUCACUAGUUGAUAGACAUUUGGGUUGUUUCAUAUUGUAGACCAUUAUGAAUAAUGCUGCUGUGAACAUUCUCAUACAUCUUUUUUUGUAGCUAUAUGUUUUCAUUUCUCUUGGGUAAAUAUCUAGGUGCGGAAUUACUGAGUCAAACAAUAGAUGCAUAUUUAAUUUUAUUAGAUUGUCACAAGUUUUUCCAAUGUGGUCGUAUUAUUUUAUGUUCUUAAGAGCAAUAUAUAAGAGUUCUAGUUGCUCCACAUCCUUGUUAACAUUUGAUGUUGCCGGCCUUCCAGAUUUUAGCUAUUCUAAUAGUUGUAUCUCAUUGUGACUUGUAUGCAUUUUCCUGGUGAUUAAUAGAGUUGAUUGUGUUUUCAUGUGCUUAGUGGUCAUUUGUACCUCUUCUUUUGUGAAACAUCCACAUUUUUUGUCUUUGCUUUUUAAUAUUGAAUUAUAGGAGAUUUAGAUAUGCUGGAUACAGUCCUUUGCUAGGUACAUGUUUCAUAAAUAUUUUCUUCCAGUCUGUGGCUUGCCUGUUUGUUAAUGAUGGUUUUGAUAAGCAGAAAUUUUUAAUUUUGAUGAAGUCUAAUUUAUCAAUUUGUUUUUUUUCUGGGUUCUAAAAAAUCUUUGCCUACUCUCAGAUAUUCACCCAUAUUUUUGUCCAAAAUUUUAGUAGUUUUAUGUUUAGGUCUAUGAUGCAUCUUGAAUUAACUUUUGUGUAUAGUUUUAGGUAAGAGUCAAAGUUCAUUCUUCCCAUAUAGAUAUCCAGUUGCUACAGCAUCAUUUGUUGGAAAAAAGUAGGGCUUACAAAAAAUUACUGCCAUUGAUCAGCUCUAGUGCCUUUGUCAAAAAUAAGUUCACCAUAUAAGGUGGACCUAUAUCUGGGGUCUCUAUUCUGUUCUAAUGAUCCAUUUAUCUAUCAAUCUUUAUGCUAGUAUCACACUUCCUUGAUGACUAUUGCUUGAGGAUAAUUCCUGAAGUCAAAUAAUGUAUAUUGUCUACCCUUUCUUCUUUUUCAAAAUUGUUUUUCUAUUCCAGGUUCUUUCUAUUUCUAUAUAAAUUUUAGAAUUGACUUAUCAACUUUGUAAAAAUACCUGCUGGAAUUGUGAACCUGUAGUUUAAUUUGGGGAGAAUUCAUAGUUUAAAGCACUGAAUGCAUUUUGAUAAAUAUAUUCCUAAGUAUUUUAUUCUUUGAGUCUUGUGAAUGUUAUUUUAUUUUCCAUUGAUUUGCUGUUAAUGUAGAGAAAUAUAAUUGAUUUUGUAUAGUGACAUUGAGACUUUCACUUAUUAGUGCUAUUAUUUGUUUUGUAGGGGCGGGGGUUGUAGAUUCCUUAGGAUUUUCUUUUUUUUUUGAGACGGAGUCUCGCUCUGUCGCCCAGGCCGGACUGCGGACUGCAGUGGCGCAAUCUCGGCUCACUGCAAGCUCCGCUUCCCGGGUUCACGCCAUUCUCCUGCCUCAGCCUCCCGAGUAGCUGGGACUACAGGCGCCCGCCACCGCGCCCGGCUAAUUUUUUGUAUUUUUAGUAGAGACGGGGUUUCACCUUGUUAGCCAGGAUGGUCUCGAUCUCCUGACCUCAUGAUCCACCCGCCUCGGCCUCCCAAAGUGCUGGGAUUACAGGCGUGAGCCACCGCGCCCGGCCGAUUCCUUAGGAUUUUCUGUAUUAAUAUGCAUAUACUUUGUAAAUAGAAUCAGUUUUACUUCUUUCUUUCCAAUAUUUAUGCCUUUUUCUUUUACUUGUGUGGUUGCGUAGUCUAGGUCAUCUUGCACAAUAUUGAAUAGAAGCAGUGAAUGAACAUCUUGCCUUGUUCCUGAUAUUAGAGGGAAAAGUGUUCAAUGUUUCUCCAUUUAGUGUAAUGCUAACAAAUUCAACUUGGUUUUGUCUUUCUUAUAUUCUGCUGGAUUUUAUUUACUAACAUCUUGAUAAAGAUUUUUGCCUGUAUGUUCAUGAAAAAUGAACAUACAGGCAAUCAGUGUAUUGUUUUCUUUUCUUGUAUCUUUGCCAGGUUUUGGCCUGGCUUUAUAAAAUCAGAGUUUCUUUCUUCUCUAUUUUCUGAAAUUUCAAUAUUUGUAAGAUUGUUAUCAUUUCUUCCAUAACCAUUUGAUAGAAUUCACCAGUGAAUUCUGGAGUUUUCUUUGUGGAAAAGUUUUUUUGCAGUUGCAGAGCCAUCCAUGCUUUCUAUUUCAUCUUUUGCCACUUUUGGUAAGUUUUGUUUUUCAGGGAAUCUGGCCAUUUCAUAUAAGUUAUCAGAUUUAUUGUUUUAAAGUUGUUCAUAAUAUUCCAGUAGUAUUAUUUGAAUAUAUGUAUAAGAUCUGGAAUGAAAUCUCCUCUUUCAUUCCUGAUACCAGUAAUUAGUUUUUUUCUCUCCCUCUCUUUUCUUGAUUAGUCUUGCUAAAAGCUUACCAAUUUUAUCAAUUUUGUUAAACAUAAAAGUUUUGGGUUUGUUAAUGUUCUCUAUUAUUUUGUCUAUUUUCUAUUCCAUUGAUUUCCACUUUUAUCUUUAUAAUGUUUUCCUUUUUACUUACUCUGGGUUUAAUUUGCUCUUCUUUUUUAGCUUCUCAAUAUGAAAAUUUAUAAGC
rnacentral:lncRNA from 1 species